AGGCCAAACCGGGAGUAGCAAUACACCCGGGGUAAGGACCGCGGAAGGCACUGAAAAGCAUAGCAGAAUCACUUGGGAAAGUGAACCGAAGAAUGUGAGAGUCAUGUAAGCGAAAUGCGGAUCAGGCCGGCGGUAUCCGGAGUAGAUGCGGACACGAGGAAUCCGCACCGAAGACGGGGGGACCACCCUCCAAGCCUAAAUACUACCCAAUGACCGAUAGAGAAGAAGUACUGUGAAGGAAAGGUGAAAAGAACCCCUGGCGGGGAGUGAAAGAGAACCUGAAACUCUGUGUUUACAAGCACACAAAGCGCGUCAAAGCGCGAUGUGGUACUUUUUGUAGAACGGUCCGGCGAGUUAUUGUAUGCAGCGAGGUUAAGUAUUUCAGAUACGGAGCCGAAGGGAAACCGAGGGUGAACAGCCCGAGCGAGUUGCAUAUAAUAGACCCGAAACCGGGUGACCUAUCCAUGUGCAGGUUGAAGGUGGGGUAAAGCCCACUGGAGGACCGAACCGACCCCCGUUGAAAAGUUGGCGGAUGACGUGUGGAUAGCGGAGAAAUUCCAAUCGAACCCGGAUAUAGCUGGUUCUCCCCGAAAUAGCUUUAGGGCUAGCCUCGAAUAUAUUUACCGGAGGUAAAGCACUGAAUGGUCGAGGGGUCGAGAGACUACCAACACCUAUCAAACUAAGAAUACCGGAUAAAUGAGUUCGGGAGUCAGACUACGUGAGAUAAGUCUCGUGGUCAAAAGGGAAACAGCCCAGACCCACAGCUAAGGUCCCCAAUGUAUGCUAAGUGGAAAACGAUGUGACAAUGCUAAGACAACUAGGAUGUUGGCUUAGAAGCAGCCACUCAUUCAAAGAGUGCGUAAUAGCUCACUAGUCGAGUGAUGUUGCGCGGAAAAUUCAACGGGGCUAAGCAUACAACCGAAGCUUGGGCAGUAGUGAUACUGGGUAGGGGAGCGUUCUGUACGGGCAGAAGCAUCAGCGGAAGCAGGUGUGGACUGUACAGAAGUGAGAAUGCCGGAAUGAGUAGCGAGAAUUGUGUGAGAAUCAUAAUGGCCGAAAAUCUAAGGUUUCCGGGGGUAGGGUCGUCCACCCCGGGUUAGCCGGGAGCUAAGGCGAGGCCGCGAGGCGUAGUCGAUGCACAAACGGUAGAGAUUCCGUUGCCGCCAGAUCUUAAGUAACUGACACGAGGGUAGAGUUCAACCCGGCCGAUGGUAGAGCCGGGCGAAAGGGACUGAAGAAUAGUAGGGAAGUGAACGAAGCCAGCGGCGAGAAAAGGUUAUGUAUGAAAUCAGGCGCCCGUACCGCAAACCGACACAGGUAGAUGAGGAGAGGAUCCUAAGGCCAGCGGGAGAAGGGUUGUUAAGGAACUCGGCAUAUUGACCCCGUAACUUCGGAAGAAGGGGUGCCGCAGAAAUGCGGCCACAGUGAAAAGGCCCAGGCGACUGUUUAUCAAAAACACAGGUCUCUGCAAAACCGAAAGGUGAAGUAUAGGGGCUGACGCCUGCCCGGUGCCGGAAGGUCAAGGGGAUUGCUUAGCGCAAGCGAAGGCAAGAACUUAAGCCCCGGUAAACGGCGGCCGUAACUAUAACGGUCCUAAGGUAGCGAAAUUCCUUGUCAGGUAAGUUCUGACCCGCACGAAUGGCGUAACGAUCUGGGCACUGUCUCAACAGCCCGCCCGGCGAAAUUGUAGUACCGGUGAAGAUGCCGGUUACCCGCGACUAGACGGAAAGACCCCAUGGAGCUUUACUGUAGUUUGAUACUGAAUUUCGGCACAUUAUGCACAGGAUAGGUGGGAGACAGAGAAGUAAGCGCUUCGGCGUUUGCGGAGUCGCCGUUGGGAUACCACUCUUGAUGUAUCGAAGUUCUAACCUGCUCCCGUAAUCCGGGAGGGGGACAAUGUCAGAUGGGCAGUUUGACUGGGGCGGUCGCCUCCUAAAGAGUAACGGAGGCGCUCAAAGGUCGGCUCAGCGCGGACGGAAAUCGCGCAAUGAGUGUAAACGUAUAAGCCGGCCUAACUGCGAGACCUACAAGUCGAGCAGUAACGAAAGUUGGAGUUAGUGAUCAGGUGGUAGUGAGUGGAAAUGCCAUCGCUUAACGGAUAAAAGCUACCCUGGGGAUAACAGGCUGAUCUCCCCCAAGAGUUCACAUCGACGGGGAGGUUUGGCACCUCGAUGUCGGCUCAUCACAUCCUGGGGCUUGGAGAAGGUCCCAAGGGUUCGGCUGUCCGCCGAUUAAAGUGGUACGCGAGCUGGGUUCAGAACGUCGUGAGACAGUUCGGUCCCUAUCUGUCGUGGGCGAAGGAGAUUUGAGAGGAGCUGACCUUAGUACGAGAGGACCGGGUCGGACGCACCACCGGUGCAUCAGUUGUUCUGCCAAGGGCAUAGCUGAGUAGCCGCGUGCGGGAGUGAUAAACGCUGAAAGCAUCUAAGCGUGAAACAUGCCUCAAGAUAAGAUCUCCCAUCCGAGAGGAGUAAGGACACUUGAAGACUACGAGUUAAAUAGGUCGGAGGUGUAAGCACAGUAAUGUGUUCAGCUGACCGAUACUAAAUGUCCGAGGGCUUGAACU
rnacentral:rRNA from 1 species